rnacentral:rRNA from 1 species
GACGAACGCUGGCGGCGUGCUUAACACAUGCAAGUCGAACGGAAAGGCCCUGCUUUUGUGGGGUGCUCGAGUGGCGAACGGGUGAGUAACACGUGAGUAACCUGCCCUUUACUUUGGGAUAACUUCAGGAAACUGGGGCUAAUACCGGAUAGGAGCUCCUGCUGCAUGGUGGGGGUUGGAAAGUUUCGGCGGUUGGGGAUGGACUCGCGGCUUAUCAGCUUGUUGGGGGGGUAGUGGCUUACCAAGGCUUUGACGGGUAGCCGGCCUGAGAGGGUGACCAGCCACAUUGGGACUGCGAUACGGACCAGACUCCUACGGGAGGCAGCAGGGGGGAAUAUUGCACAAUGGGCGGAAGCCUGAUGCAGCAACGCCGCGUGCGGGAUGACGGCCUUCGGGUUGUAAACCGCUUUCGCCUGUGACGAAGCGUGAGUGACGGUAAUGGGUAAAGAAGCACCGGCUAACUACGUG